CCUACGGGUGGCAGCAGUGAGGAAUAUUGGUCAAUGGCCGGAAGGCUGAACCAGCCAAGCCGCGUGAAGGACGAAGGUGCCAAGCAUUGUAAACUUCUUUUGUCAAGGGACAAACUGAGGCACGAGAGCCUGACCGAGGGUACCUGAAGAAAAAGCAUCGGCUAACUCCGUGCCAGCAGCCGCGGUAAUACGGAGGAUGCGAGCGUUAUCGGAAUUUCUGGGGGUAAAGGGAGCGUAGACGGUAUGGCAAGUUUGAAGUGAAAGCCCAGGGCUUAACCCUGGGACUGCUGUGGAAACUGUUAGUCUAGAGUGCUGGAGAGGUAAGCGGAAUGCGUGGUGUAGCGGUGAAAUGCGUAGAUAUUAGGAAGAACACCGGUUGCGAAGGCGGCUUACUGGACAGUAACUGACGUUGAGGCUCGAAAGCGUGGGGAGCAAACAGGAUUAGAUACCCGAGUAGUC
rnacentral:rRNA from 1 species